rnacentral:rRNA from 1 species
GAGUUUGAUCCUGGCUCAGAACGAACGCUGGCGGSGUGCCUAACACAUGCAAGUCGAACGUGAUCCAGAGCUUGCUCUGAUGAAAGUGGCGCACGGGUGAGUAACGCGUGGAUAACCUACCCUGGUAUCCGGGAUAACAUUCCGAAAGGGGKGCUAAUACCGGAUAAGCUCACGGGCUCUUUGGAGCUUGCGGGAAAAGGUGGCCUCUAUUUAUAAGCUACUGUAUCAGGAUGGGUCCGCGUACCAUUAGCUAGUUGGCGGUGUAACGGACCACCAAGGCGACGAUGGUUAGCUGGUCUGAGAGGAUGAUCAGCCACACUGGAACUGAGACACGGUCCAGACUCCUACGGGAGGCAGCAGUGGGGAACUUUGCGCAAUGGGGGAAACCCUGACGCAGCAACGCCGCGUGAGUGAUGAAGGCCUUUGGGUCGUAGAGCUCUGUCAGAGGGGAAGAAAUGAUAUUGUGCUAAUACCACUUUAUCUUGACGGUACCCUCAAAGGAAGCGCCGGCUAACUCCGUGCCAGCAGCCGCGGUAAUAC